rnacentral:rRNA from 1 species
AGAGUUUGAUCAUGGCUCAGACGAACGCUGGCGGCAGGCUUAACACAUGCAAGUCGAACGCUCGUAGCAAUACGGGAGUGGCGGACGGGUGAGUAACGCGUGGGAACGUGCCCUGAGGUACGGAAUAACUGCGGGAAACUGCAGCUAAUACCGUAUGAGCCCCGUGAGGGGGAAAGAUUUAUCGCCUUAGGAGCGGCCCGCGUCGGAUUAGCUAGUUGGUGGGGUAACGGCUUACCAAGGCUUCGAUCCGUAGCUGGUCUGAGAGGACGAUCAGCCACACUGGGACUGAGACACGGCCCAGACUCCUACGGGAGGCAGCAGUGGGAAUCUUGCGCAAUGGGGGCAACCCUGACGCAGCCAUGCCGCGUGAAUGAUGAAGGCCUUAGGGUUGUAAAGUUCUUUUGCCCGUGACGAUGAUGACGGUAACGGGAGAAUAAGCUCCGGCUAACUUCGUG